rnacentral:rRNA from 1 species
AGAGUUUGAUCAUGGCUCAGAUUGAACGCUGGCGGAAUGCUUUACACAUGCAAGUCGAACGGCAGCACGGAGAGCUUGCUCUCUGGUGGCGAGUGGCGAACGGGUGAGUAAUAUAUCGGAACGUGUCCAAUAAUGGGGGAUAACGAGUCGAAAGAUUCGCUAAUACCGCAUACGCCCUACGGGGGAAAGCAGGGGAUCGUAAGACCUUGCGUUAAUGGAGCGGCCGAUAUCUGAUUAGCUUGUUGGUGAGGUAAAGGCUCACCAAGGCGACGAUCAGUAGCUGGUUUGAGAGAACGACCAGCCACACUGGAACUGAGACACGGUCCAGACUCCUACGGGAGGCAGCAGUGGGGAAUUUUGGACAAUGGGGGCAACCCUGAUCCAGCCAUUCCGCGUGAGUGAAGAAGGCCUUCGGGUUGUAAAGCUCUUUCGCAAGGGAAGAAAACUUAUGAUCGAAUAAAUCAUGAGGUUGACGGUACCUUGAUAAGAAGCACCGGCUAACUACGUGCCAGCAGCCGCGGUAAUACGUAGGGUGCGAGCGUUAAUCGGAAUUACUGGGCGUAAAGCGUGCGCAGGCGGUUUUGUAAGUCGGAUGUGAAAUCCCCGGGCUCAACCUGGGAACUGCGUUCGAAACUGCAAGGCUAGAGUGUGUCAGAGGGGGGUAGAAUUCCACGUGUAGCAGUGAAAUGCGUAGAGAUGUGGAGGAAUACCAAUGGCGAAGGCAGCCCCCUGGGAUAACACUGACGCUCAUGCACGAAAGCGUGGGGAGCAAACAGGAUUAGAUACCCUGGUAGUCCACG